GCCAUGACGAAUAAAAAAGUAGUUUUUAUUUUUGGUCGAUUUUUAAAUGUUCUUAGGAUUUUAUCUAUUCCACAUCUUUAACUAUUAAAUAAAAAAAAAGACUCGUCUAAAUUGAAAGAUAAAUAAAAAAAAUAUAAUGAUUAGUGAACAAUAAUGGAAUAAUUCCUUCAUAUUUAUAGAGAUAGGGGAUAUAAUUCACAUGGAUAUAGUAAGUCUCGCUUGGGCAGCUUUAAUGGUAGUCUUUACAUUUUCUCUUUCACUCGUAGUAUGGGGUAGAAGUGGACUCUAGAAGUACUACUAAUUGAGUUGAAGAAUCAAACUCAAACCAUAUCAAUUGUUUUGG